ensembl:miRNA
AUUGUAUUAGGUUGGUGCAAAAGUAAUUGCUAUUUUAGACGUUACUUUCAAUGGCAAAAACUGCAAUUACUUUUGCACCAACCUAAUACAAU